rnacentral:rRNA from 1 species
CCUACGGGUGGCAGCAGUGAGGAAUAUUGGUCAAUGGGCGCGAGCCUGAACCAGCCAAGUCGCGUGAGGGAAGACGGUCCUAUGGAUUGUAAACCUCUUUUAUCGGGGAGUAAAAGACUCCACGCGUGGCGUUCCGUGAGUACCCGGAGAAAAAGGAUCGGCUAACUCCGUGCCAGCAGCCGCGGUAAUACGGAGGAUGCGAGCGUUAUCCGGAUUUAUUGGGUUUAAGGGGUGCGUAGGCGGAUUGAUAAGUUAGAGGUGAAAUGUCCGGGCUCAACCGGGGAACUGCCGCUAAUACGGUUGAUCUAGAGAGUAGAUGCGGUAGGCGGAAUGUAUGGUGUAGCGGUGAAAUGCUUAGAGAUCAUACAGAACACCGAUUGCGAAGGCAGCUUACCAAUCUAUAUCUGACGUUGAGGCACGAAAGCGUGGGGAGCAAACAGGAUUAGAUACCCUUGUAGUC